UACGGAGGGAGCUAGCGUUGUUCGGAUAUACUGGGCGUAAAGCGCACGUAGGCGGCGCCGUAAGUCAGGGGUGAAAUCCCGGAGCUCAACUCCGGAACUGCCUUUGAAACUGCGGUGCUAGAAUCCUGGAGAGGCGAGUGGAAUUCCGAGUGUAGAGGUGAAAUUCGCAGAUAUUCGGAAGAACACCAGUGGCGAAGGCGACUCGCUGGACAGGUAUUGACGCUGAGGUGCGAAAGCGUGGGGAGCAAACAGG
rnacentral:rRNA from 1 species